rnacentral:rRNA from 1 species
AGAGUUUGAUCAUGGCUCAGAGUGAACGCUGGCGGCAGGCCUAAUACAUGCAAGUCGAACGGCAGCACAGCAGAGCUUGCUCUGUGGGUGGCGGGUGGCGGACGGGUGAGGAAUACAUGGGAAUCUGCCCAGUCGUGGGGGACAACGUAGGGAAACUUACGCUAAUACCGCAUGCGCCCUUCGGGGGAAAGCCGGGGACCUUCGGGCCUGGCGCGAUUGGAUGAGCCCAUGUCGGAUUAGCUAGUUGGCGGGGUAAUGGCCCACCAAGGCGACGAUCCGUAGCUGGUCUGAGAGGAUGAUCAGCCACACUGGAACUGAGACACGGUCCAGACUCCUACGGGAGGCAGCAGUAGGGAAUAUUGGACAAUGGGCGCAGGCCUGAUCCAGCCAUGCCGCGUGAGUGAAGAAGGCCCUCGGGUUGUAAAGCUCUUUUGUCCGGAAAGAAAAGCGCCGGGUUAAUACCCUGGUGUCCUGACGGUACCGGAAGAAUAAGCACCGGCUAACUUCGUG